rnacentral:rRNA from 1 species
AACGAACGCUGGCGGCAGGCUUAACACAUGCAAGUCGAACGGCUGUAGCAAUACAGCAGUGGCAGACGGGUGAGUAACACGUGGGAACCUUCCUAGGGGUACGGAACAACUCAGGGAAACUUGAGCUAAUACCGUAUACGUCCGUAAGGAGAAAGAUUUAUCGCCCUUAGACGGGCCCGCGUCGGAUUAGCUAGUUGGUGGGGUAACGGCCUACCAAGGCGACGAUCCGUAGCUGAUCUGAGAGGAUGAUCAGCCACACUGGGACUGAGACACGGCCCAGACUCCUACGGGAGGCAGCAGUGGGGAAUCUUGGACAAUGGGCGCAAGCCUGAUCCAGCCAGGCCGCGUGAGUGAAGAAGGCCUUAGGGUUGUAAAGCUCAUUUGGCAGGGACGAUAAUGACGGUACCUGCAGAAUAAGCCCCGGCAAACUUCGUGCCAGCCGCCGCCGUAAUAC